GGGCGCGUAGCUCAGCUAGGUCAGAGCACCUCGCUUACACCGAGGGGGUCGCCCGUUCGAGUCGGGCCGCGCCCAUCA
rnacentral:tRNA from 1 species